AUGCAAAUGGAUGCGGUUCACCAAUGAGCAAGCAUGUGACAGAAAGGUACACACACCUCUUGUCAUCAUCACUCACAUUCCCAUUGAGUUCAGGGUGUGUUUGCUGUUGUUGUUGACUGUAAUCUGGAACAGACUGCUGGUACCCAGAUGACAUGCUAGUCACAAACUGAAGGUCAUGCCGUACGUAUCAAUAGUUCCUGGUGUUGUAGGAAAAGAUUUGUGCUUCCAGCGUCACUCCUGGUUUCGACUUCUGAGUAUGCUGGGUCCUAUCCCAGCGUCUUGGGCCGUAGACAGGGAAACCCUCUGGACAGCUGGACAAUCAAUCACGGGGAUGACGCGCGUAAUUUACAGUCUUCAGUUCACCUAACCUGUUUGUCUUUGAGUGCGGUAAACUAGAGCAAACCCACAUCAACAUGGGAAGAACAUGCAAACACCUCACAUGAUGUCUUCCGGCUCAGUCAGGACUGGAGCAGGGACCUUCAGUGACAGUUCCAUCCUAUUAGUGUGAUCCUAUUAGUCAUAAAGUUGAAAAUAUCAUGUAUAUCAGAUAUAGUGCAUUUGCAAAUAGGCAACUAAAUCUAAUUGUCUUGUUUUUAUAUGUAAAUAUAUCCCCAGGCUGACAUACCACAUAUUUUGUUUAUAAAAUGUACAGGGUGAGGCAGGGUAAGACAAAAUUUAAUUUCAACACCGCCUGAGCUAUUUUUACAUUUGUAAUUUCAUCUGAAUAUCAACAUUGUGAAUUUGAAUCUUUCAAAACAGCUUAAUGAGGCUAAUUGAAUUUAAUUAUGUGUCUAGGGGGAAAAAAGUGAUCCAUGACAUUGUAUUGUGUUUAUUUAUUUAUUUAUAUUUAUAUUUAUAUAUUAAUUAACUUUACAAGACAACACUGUAAAAAGUGAUUUUUUUGGGCUUGUAAAUAAAGAUAGCAUCAGUUAAGUAAAUUUUACAAACAAAUACUAUUUUGUCUUUUUACUUCAAAAUAUCAUGUUUAAUUCAAUAAGCUAC